rnacentral:tRNA from 1 species
ACCUAAAUAGUUUUAAUAAAAACACUAAUUUGUGGCAUUAGAGAUGGUAAACACCUUACCUUUAAGUC